rnacentral:rRNA from 1 species
GACGAACGCUGGCGGCGUGCUUAACACAUGCAAGUCGAACGAUGAAGCCUAGCUUGCUAGGUGGAUUGUGGCGAACGGGUGAGUAAUACGUGAGUGACCUACCUUUGACUCUGGGAUAAGCCUGGGAAACUGGGUCUAAUACCGGAUACGACCAAUCUCCGCAUGGGGUGUUGGUGGAAAGCGUUAUGGAGUGGUUUUAGAUGGGCUCACGGCCUAUCAGCUUGUUGGUGAGGUAAUGGCUUACCAAGGCGACGACGGGUAGCCGGCCUGAGAGGGUGACCGGCCACACUGGGACUGAGACACGGCCCAGACUCCUACGGGAGGCAGCAGUGGGGAAUAUUGCACAAUGGGCGCAAGCCUGAUGCAGCGACGCCGCGUGAGGGA